UACGUAGGCAGCAAGCGUUGUUCGGAGUUACUGGGCGUAAAGGGUGCGUAGGCGGCUUUUUAAGUUUGGUGUGAAAUCUCCCGGCCCAACUGGGAGGGUGCGCCGAAUACUGAGAGGCUAGAGUGUGGGAGAGGAAAGUGGAAUUCCUGGUGUAGCGGUGAAAUGCGUAGAUAUCAGGAGGAACACCGGUGGUGUAAACGGCUUUCUGGACCAUAACUGACGCUGAGGCACGAAAGCGUGGGUAGCAAACAGG
rnacentral:rRNA from 1 species